rnacentral:rRNA from 1 species
AUGGAAGGAGAUGAAAUUGUUCAAAAUCCAGGUGCUGGGCAAGUUGGUAGAAAAAAUAAAACCCUCAAUGACCAGCAAAAAUUUGCUGCUUAUGUAGCAUUGCAUACACUGUGUAUGAGUAGAGGAGGCACUUUUAAGAAAACUGAUACGCAAGAUAUUGCAAAUUUUUUUGGAGUGGGUGUUUGGAAUAUACAAAGAAUUUGGAGGAAAGCAAUGUUGCAAAUUCAACAAGGUCAAGAGGUAGAUGUUGCCGAUCAGAGAAAAGGAAAUUCUGGAAGAAAGCCUAAGGACAUUAACCUAGAAAAAAUCCUAACAAUCCCAUUAAACAGGAGGUCUACUAUUAGAUCACUAGCCUGGCAACUAGGAUGUAGCCCUACUACACUUCAUAGAAAGUUCAUGCUAAAUUUGAUUAGGAGGCAUACAAACUGUGUGAAGCCGGCUUUAAAGGAAAAGAAUAAGAUGGAUAGGAUGAAUUUUUGUUUGUCGAUGCUUGAUGAGGCAACAACAGCAACUGCGAGGCCUAAGUUCAAGACUAUGCAUAACGUUGUCCAUAUUGACGAGAAGUGGUUUAACAUGACAAAGAAGAAUAGAACAUAUUAUCUGCUGGAUGGGGAGGAAGAGCCUACGAGGCCUAUACACGGCAACUGUAUUGGCAAGGUGAUGUUUUUAACGGCCGUUGCUAGGCCAAGGUGGGACAGCGAAGGAAACGUGACCUUCUCUGGGAAAAUCGGUAUCUGGCCAUUUGUGAAAGAAGUUCCUGCUUAG